rnacentral:rRNA from 1 species
GGAGGAUGCGAGCGUUAUCCGGAUUUAUUGGGUUUAAAGGGUGCGUAGGCGGUUCCUUAAGUAAGCGGUAAAAUCGCGGGGCUCAACCCCGCCGAGCCGUUUAGACUGGGGGACUUGAGACGGCGAGAAGUACGCGGAAUGCGCGGUGUAGCGGUGAAAUGCAUAGAUAUCGCGCAGAACUCCGAUUGCGAAGGCAGCGUACCGGCGCCGUUCUGACGCUGAGGCACGAAAGCGUGGGGAUCGAA